rnacentral:rRNA from 1 species
UCCUGUCUGAAUAUGGGGGGACCAUCCUCCAAGGCUAAAUACUCCUGACUGACCGAUAGUGAACCAGUACCGUGAGGGAAAGGCGAAAAGAACCCCGGCGAGGGGAGUGAAAAAGAACCUGAAACCGUGUACGUACAAGCAGUGGGAGCACAGGUUUACCUGUGUGACUGCGUACCUUUUGUAUAAUGGGUCAGCGACUUAUAUUCUGUAGCAAGGUUAACCGAAUAGGGGAGCCGGAGGGAAACCGAGUCUUAAUUGGGCGUUAAGUUGCAGGGUAUAGACCCGAAACCCGGUGAUCUAGCCAUGGGCAGGUUGAAGGUUGGGUAACACUAACUGGAGGACCGAACCGACUAAUGUUGAAAAAUUAGCGGAUGACCUGUGGCUGGGGGUGAAAGGCCAAUCAAACCGGGAGAUAGCUGGUUCUCCCCGAAAGCUAUUUAGGUAGCGCCUCGUGAAUUCAUCUCCGGGGGUAGAGCACUGUUUCGGCUAGGGGGCCAUCCCGGCUUACCAACCCGAUGCAAACUGCGAAUACCGGAGAAUGUUAUCACGGGAGACACACGGCGGGUGCUAACGUCCGUCGUGAAGAGGGAAACAACCCAGACCGCCAGCUAAGGUCCCAAAGUCAUGGUUAAGUGGGAAACGAUGUGGGAAGGCCCAGACAGCCAGGAUGUUGGCUUAGAAGCAGCCAUCAUUUAAAGAAAGCGUAAUAGCUCACUGGUCGAGUCGGCCUGCGCGGAAGAUGUAACGGGGCUAAACCAUG